AUGAGUGACAUGCUUCACACACAUACCCAGGGCUGCUUGUGGUUGUCUCAAGUUUGGCAUUUACAGUUGAAUCCUCUGGUUCCACUCCACUGCCUUCAUCCUUUUUCUCUGGUGCUCGAUUCUCCUGGUUCAACCUGGAGCCCGGAAGAGCGCCACCUUGUCAUCCUCCACCCUUUACAGAAUCGAGAAGGGAAAGCAGCCUGAGGAGGUGGCAGCAGUGGGGAUGAUCUCCGGCUUCCUGCCUUCCCACCCUGGGGUGAGUGACCAGUGUUCCCUCUCUCCUUUCUUGACCCUAGAUGGCUUUCUUUCCCUCUCAUGGGUGGCAGCUUGACUGAGGCCUCUCUGGCCUGAACCUCAGUGGUGGGCUCCUGGAGGGGGAGCUUUUUCCCCAAGCCCUCCUGUGAGGAUCCCCCCACAAUAACCACAGACUCCCAGGAUCCAACUGGUCUGGACUCAGGGCAGGAGACUAGGCCAGAGGGUUGCUGAGGAUCCCAUUGGUGGUGGGGGUGGCCCUGGAGGGCUGGUGGGGGCCAGGCAGGGCCUGACAGACCUCCCAGAGC
rnacentral:lncRNA from 1 species